GACGAACGCUGGCGGCGUGCCUAAUACAUGCCAGUAGAACGCUGAAGGAGGAGCUUGCUUCUCCGGAUGAGUUGCGAACGGGUGAGUAACGCGUAGGUAACCUGCCUGGUAGCGGGGGAUAACUAUUGGAAACGAUAGCUAAUACCGCAUAAGAGUAGAUGUUGCAUGACAUUUGCUUAAAAGGUGCAAUUGCAUCACUACCAGAUGGACCUGCGUUGUAUUAGCUGGUUGGUGGGGUAACGGCUCACCAAGGCGACGAUACAUAGCCGACCUGAGAGGGGGGUCGGCCACACUGGGACUGAGACCCGGCCCAGACGCCUACGGGAGGCAGCAGUAGGGAAUCUUCGGCAAUGGACGGAAGUCUGACCGAGCAACGCCGCGUGAGUGAAGAAGGUUGUCGGAUCGUAAAGCUCGGUUGUAAGAGAAGAACGAGUGUGAGAGUGGAAAGUUCACACUGUGACGGUAUCUUACCAGAAAGGGACGGCUAACUACGUG
rnacentral:rRNA from 1 species